UCUCACGCCAGGGAUUGCUGCGAAGUCCGUCGGUGGCCCUCAGCCCUCACACUGAUGGCCAGGUGGUUCCUAGGAAAGGAGGAAUUAGAAAUACAUGAAAUUAGAGUCAGAAAAACCUAAGUUAACCUUAAAAUAAAGCUGCCAGUUAUUACCAACAAAAGAUAGGUUUGGGGAAUAAAAGAGAGUUGUAAUCCAGGACGAACAAACUGUCGUAGGCAGUCGAGGAACAAAGGAGAGGUACCCAGUUUUAUGGAGAAAAGGGACUACUACCCACAAGACCCACGAGUGUAUGCUUUCAGCCCAGCAUGCAUUCCUCUGUGCUCAGCUAGGUACAAAAUGUCUUUCUCCCCACCUGGCCCACGGUCCAGCUUCCUGUCCCAACUUCAGCCAUCCAGACCUUCUAUGGAUCCCAGCGCAGCAGUGAUGCCCCUUCAAGCUCUCCCUCCAUGGCCUGCAUCGGAAGCUGCAAUCCACAUCAGAGAUAAAAGGCCAGAAUUUCUCUGGAUGUUUGAGGAAAAUUGUCUUGAUGACAUGUUGUUUUUUUUUUAAUUCUGCUUCAUAUCAUGGAUCUGUUUUUAUUUCCAACUGUAGAGAGAGAUGUGGUGUGAGUGGUGGAGGGGCAGAGAGAGAGGUCGACACAGAAUCCCAGGCGAGUUCCAGGCUCCAAGCUGUCAGCACACAGAGCCCAACACCGGGCUCGAACUCACGAGCCCAGUGAUCACGAUCUGAGCCAAAGUUGGACGCUCAGCCGACUGAGCCACCCAGGAGCCCCUGUAUAAGAACCCUUUUAGGAAGUAGUAUGCAGGAACUUUUGCCUCUCCAUCACACCCAAGAAGUACUGUGUUCAACAACAACCAGAGGUCACUGUGGCAUUUACAACCAAAGGGAGGAGCCAUUGAAAAAGGUACCCGGAUACACAAAAUAUAAAAUCCUCUCUGUGUCUGGCUUGAGGCAGUAUGUGCCCUAAUGGUUUUAGUCCAUGUUUUGUGGAUAGAGGAACACGGAAAACGACACUUGCCAAAUAGCGUCAGAGGCUAUGUGGGCUCCUAUGCUUAGUGACCAUAGCCAUAGUGGCCUAUUUAUGUGCAUACUUAUGAGAAGCUUAUUGGCAUAUGCAAACUAAGGUAGAAUUAGGGGUGACCACUUCCCAUAUGACAUCCUAAGAACAUUGAGCAUUUUAGGCCCAUAAAAUGUACUCAAAUAUCACCUCAGCAAUAAACAGUCUAUAGCAAAAACAGAUCUGGUGGCCAAACUAUCGGUGACCAAGAGGGUCUAAAAGAACCCUAUGUGAACUUGUCAUGGGUCUAGCUGGCCUGACAGAACCAGAGUCUGUCUUCCCUGAGGAGAGAGAUACUGAGGAGAAAUAUUCAUUGGCCAUCUGACCACACCACAGUGUGUGUUUUCCAGGAAGAAGAGAAAAGGUUUGUUAUCUUCCUUGGGGCUGCUGUAACAGAUUCCACCAAGUAGGGGGCUCAAAACAAAAGAAAUCUGCUCUCUCAAGUUCUAGAAAUCAAGAGGUUGGCAGGGUCAGUUCCUUCUGGAAGCUCUGAGAGAGAAUCUGUUCCAUGUCUCUCACCUAGCCUCUGGUAUUUUCCAGAAAUCCUUGGUAUCCCUUGGCUUGCAGAUACAUCUCUCCAGUCUCUGUAUGCAUUUUCACAUGGUCUUUUCCUUUGUGUUUCUGAGUAUGCCAAAUCUCUUCUCCUUUCUCUUAUGAGGACAUCAGUCACUGGACUUAAGGCUCACCCUAAAUACAAGAUGAUCUUUCCCCAGGAUUCUUAGUUAAAACACGUCUGCAAAGAGGUGCCUGGGUGACUCAGUCGGUUGAGCAUCAGAUUCUUGAUCUCAGCUCAGGUCAUCCCAGUGUUGUGGGAUCCAGCCCCAUGUUGGGCUCCCUGCUGCACAUGAAGCCUGCUUAAGAUUCUCUCUCUGUCCUUCUUCCCCUUUCCUCUGCUUGCUCUUUCUCUCUAAAACAAAAAUUUAAAGAAUAAAAUAAAACGCAUCUGCAAAGAACCUAUUGGCAAAUAAGUCAUUUCCCAGGUAUCUGGGAUAAAGAUUUGGACAUCAUCUUUUUUGAAAGACACUAUUUAACCCUACUCACAGAUGGAUGGCAAGCAGCCUGAACAGAUAAUACAGCUUAGGAAAAUGCAAAUAUUUUUUUAAAUAUUUAUUUCUGAGAGAGAGAGAGAGAGAGAG